UGUUGUCGGAGGCUCUGACGAUAUUGCACUACUGUCCUCACCGUUAAGCAGUGCAAUAGUAUUGUCAAAGCGUCAGGCAACAGA
rnacentral:pre_miRNA from 13 species